rnacentral:rRNA from 1 species
UACGGAGGGUGCAAGCGUUAUCCGGAUUCACUGGGUUUAAAGGGUGCGUAGGCGGGCAGGUAAGUCAGUGGUGAAAUCUCCGAGCUUAACUCGGAAACUGCCAUUGAUACUAUUUGUCUUGAAUAUUGUGGAGGUAAGCGGAAUAUGUCAUGUAGCGGUGAAAUGCUUAGAUAUGACAUAGAACACCAAUUGCGAAGGCAGCUUACUACACAAUGAUUGACGCUGAGGCACGAAAGCGUGGGGGAUCAAACAGG